rnacentral:snRNA from 1 species
GGGUGUGGGGGAAAUAUGGCUGCAACAUCUGGCAUGCCAUUGAUUGCCAGGGUUGAUUAGCCUGAUCUGGAUGGCUAGCUGUUAUCCCUUUCUUCCCUCACUGCUCCAUGUGUAUCCUUCCCAAAACUUCAUGCUCCAUGAAGAAGUUAACCAUCCAAGAUACAGGUAUAUGUGUCUUUGGUGAAGGAUAUGCAGUU